rnacentral:tRNA from 1 species
GUUUUCGUGGUGUAGUGGUCAGCACGCUCGACGCGUAUUCGAGAGGUCCGUGGUUCGAGUCCCGGCGAGGGCA